UACGGGGGGGGGGCAAGCGUUGUUCGGAAUUACUGGGCGUAAAGGGCUCGUAGGCGGCCAACUAAGUCAGACGUGAAAUCCCUCGGCUUAACCGGGGGAACUGCAUCUGAUACUGGAUGGCUUGAGAUUGGGAGAGGGAUGCGGAAUUCCAGGUGUAGCGGUGAAAUGCGUAGAUAUCUGGAGGAACACCGGUGGCGAAGGCGGCAUCCUGGACCAACACUGACGCUGAGGAGCGAAAGCCAGGGGAGCAAAGCGGG
rnacentral:rRNA from 1 species